GGUUAGAGGAUUAGGGAUAGGGUUAGAGUUAGGGUUAGAGGGUUAGAGGAUAACGGUUAGAGGACCAAACUUAGGGAUACAGGGUUAGAGGAUUAGGGCUAGGGUUAAAGUCAGAUUUAGGGCUGAGGUUGGAGAGUUAAGGUUAGAGGGUUAGUAAGGGUUAGAGGGAUAGGGUUAGUGUUAAGGUUAAAGCAUUAGAGUUAGGGAGUUACAGUUAAGGUUAGAGGGUUAGGGUUAGAGGAUUAGAGUUGGGGUUAGAAAAUCAGAGAGUUAAAGAUAGAGUUAGAGUCAAGGUUAGAGGGUUAAGCCGCGUUCAGACCAAACGCGACCAGGUCGCGUCGCGUCGGUCGGUCAGGUCGCGUCGCGUGGUGCUCUGGUGUGUUCACACCGGGUCCAAAGUUGCAGUCGCAGGUCGCGGCUGGUUGCCGGUGACGUCAUCCAUGUCACUAGCUCAGUUUUCAGUUCAUCAGUGCUGCCGCAUAUCUGUACAUCCGCAGUAGACGCCGCCGGCGUUUAUGGGUGCAUGAAACCAUCCGGAGGAGGACGGAGCUGGGUGAAUUUCACCGCUUGCUCCAGGAACUCCGCCUGGACGACGGCCGCCUCCAGCGGUAUUUCCGUGUGUCGACGGCGCAGUUCGAGGACCUCCUCGCCCAGGUGGGAAGCAGCAUCUCCCGCCUGGACACGAAAUACAGGCGCUCCAUCUCAGCUUCGGAGCGCCUGUCUAUCUGUCUGUCCCUCAUAUAAACGUCUCUAAGCCCCUUCCACCGCUUGCGGCACACAUCCACUGCAAAGACACACACACACACAUACGUUGAAACAUGUAGCCUAGUAAGCAGGGGCAGUUAGCUGGGUGGUAGCUAACGGAUGUGAUUAACUGCUCCUCCAUUGUGAUUCUUCUUCUCCUCUUCCUUGUUUCGCCGGUUUGUUGACGUCAGCAGAGCCCUGAUUGGCUGUCGCGGCACGAAGUCGCUCCCAAAGUUCAAAUAUUUGAACUUUGGGAGCGACGCGACUUGGCGUCCUGCGACCUCGGCGACGCGACCUCGGGGACGCGCCUUGGCGACCGGUCGCCCGGUCGCGCAUGGUCGCGUCGCAGGAAGCCGGUGGUCGCCAAGUCGCGUCAGGUCGCGGCUGGUCUGAACGCGGCUUUAGAGUUAGGGUGAGAUGUUUAGGGUUAGAGAGUUGGAGUUAAGGUUUGGGGGUUAGGGUUAGAACGCUAAGGAUAAGGGUUAGAGAUUUAGGGUCAGAGGAUUGGGGUUAAAAUUAAGGUUAGAGAGUAAGGAUGAGAGUUACAGUUUUUUUUAGCAGCGGCGCUUCUCUGUCUGAGGGGUACGCUGUUUCCCCCACUCUCUUUUGGCUCAUGCUAUGAGCUUUGCUGUUACGUUAGCGUCACAUUACGUUACCCUGCUUGCUAUAUAGACCAUGUAUGAGCUAGAACGUUACCUUUCACAUGGAUGGAAGAGAGUCCAACAGGAUUUGAUGCACUUGUUAAAGACUUAAAACAAGUCAAACAUAAUGUUGUGUGUUCUUCGGCUCACACAGUGUCAGUAGAAAUCAUUAGUGGCGCAUUGAUAUUAAUGAUCAUGUGAAAUUUCAGUAGCGGCGUACGUCAUAUGGCAGCGGUGGUGUCCUGCUGCUGAGUGAAUGUAAGGGAAACACUGCAGUUAGAGGGUCAGAGUUAGAGAGUUAGAGUUAAGGUUAGAGAGUUAGGGUUAGAGGGUUAGAAGGGUUAGAGUUGGAGUUAAGGUUAAGGGAUCAGGUUUGGAGGGUAGAGGAUCAGAGUUAUGGUUGAAGGGUUAGUGUUAGUGGUAGUGUUAGAGGGUUAGGGUUAAGAAUAAAGACUUGAUAGCAGUAUCGAGAAGGACUUGAAUCAUUCAGGGAGUCUCAAAACGGUACAAAUAAAAUAAAUGAUCCUAUAGACAAACUAGGUUAUACAUUUUUGGACCUUCAUAUUUUCAAAUAAGAUCGUUUUCUGAACUUGUGAAAUAAAUGUGGCUUAAAUUAAGUUUAUUAAGACGUUUUUAUUAGAUAAAAUAGAAAAGCUUUUGCACAUAGCAUCAGUAUCUGAGCACCAGAGGUGGAUACAAGCUCAUAUAUGAAUAAUUUUUCUUACUGUCUAAUCUGUUCUUUUAAAACUUUGGGUUUUAUGGUUGUUACUCCACUGAAUACUUGUUUUAUCAACUUACUGGAGUUAAACAGAGUUAUAUUUGAACAGUCAUCAUAUCUAAGUUUGAAGACUUACUCAGACUCAUGAUCCAAACAAGCUCAGCACGGACUCAUGGUGGUAAUGUGUAACCUGCUUUGCACAGGUGUGCUGUUCAAACAUCACACAGGUUUCAUCCUCCCACACACACGGAGGGAGCGAGAGAUGGAGGGAGAGAUUUCUGAGGAAAUUUACAGACGGUCUGCAGAGCCUGAUCUAAUCAGACACCAUCAGGUGGAAACAAUGUCUAAUAACAUCUAAUCAAUUCACCUACAUCAAAUUAAGUGCAGGGCUUGUACAGAUCAGUCCUCACAACAUCCAGACAUGUUUCAAUGUAACGUGGGAGGUGAUAACUGCAGGGCUGCUUCCUUGGAAACAAAAUAAUCCCAACUCUACAUUGUGCAAUACCUCCACUCUGCAUGAUGACGAACCAACCGAGGGAUCAUCGACGCCAAAAUCAUCAAACAGUUUUGGAGCUAAAAAUGGAUCUGGGAUGAGGAGGAAACCUGCUUAUGCACACAGAAACUCUGCAUCUUGUACAAAUACACCUGGAGCACGCCCAGCAUACACGGCAACUCAGCACAACAACCACUUAAAACACAACCACAAAAAAAGAGGUGUUUGCAAGCGGCUGGGAAUCACUACACCCGGGUCAGGUCUGUCAACAAUAACCGAACAGCAAAACAUGAACCCGCAAUGUUAGUCUGUUUGAUGUUCCCCUCUCUUCUUUUUUUUAAUCUGUCUUUCAAUAGAGGGAGUCUGAAAGGCAGAGUCGAGAUGUUUAAGAACACGGUUUGCCGCGGUUAAAGCCACGGAUAACAAUAAGCGUUUUACACAGAGCAGGAAUUCAAAGAACUUGAGGAGAGAAACACAGAGACAAUAGUUGGCUGUGAAAGGGUGACGAUCGCUCUAACAUGCUAAAUCUCUGCCUUUGUGCCCCGAAGCUUUGAUCCCAAACUUCCAGAGAGCCUCUUGUCGGGUCUGUUUGCUCUUAUUCAGAUAUAUUAAGACUUUCUUUUGUGCGCAGACUUCAGAAACAGCCUGUGGUAUUUGCUCAAGAUUAGUUUACUUAAAAGCCCCGAAAAAAGGUCCCGAAAUCAGAGGGCAAAACCUCCUUUGACAGAGAUGAGAGGUAAUCUGUGCACGGUUGAGUCAUUUCACCGCUCUUAUGCUGCGCCUACAGAUUGUGUGUUUGCAUAUAUAGUGUUUUUGUGUGUAUUUUCAGUUAGAUAAAUAUGUAUUUAAAGUGUUAGUUUGGAAAGAACGAGGUGACAGGAGCGUAAACUUCUUCAAAACACUGUUUACUGAGACACUCUGAGGUGAGAGCCAAACAACUUGUGAGAGGAUGAUGCAAACCUGAGUGUGUGUUUUUACACGCCGUGUGUGUGUGUGUGUGUGUACUGAUUUGUGUGUUUGAGUCGCUCACCACUCGUGUUGUUCAUCCAGUGAGCCGUUAAGGUAACAUGACUGUGCAGGCAGCCGGUCAGGCCGAGGAAUGACUGACCUUUGACCUACAACCUCGUCACAUGGCUGACCCAAUCAGAUGAUUGACUGAAGCCUGAGGCGACCAUAAGUUUGAACAAAUAUGAAAGUGUGCAAACAUGAGAUUGUGGGGUUGAUAAAACAGGAACGACACUGUUUUGGAGAAGUUUGUAGUCAGAGGCAGCCAAAAAAAGCAGUUUUUGUGUGAAAUGGUGUUUUGAGAUUAAAGGGAUAUUCUGGCGAAAAAUUAAUUUAGGGUCAAACUCACCAUAAUACAGAGUUGGAUGCCCUGUCGAGAGAUGAAUGUUGCCAACUGCUUGCUUCUCUAGUUAUACCAACUUUAAUAUGACCGAACAAUAGCAAUACGGGGGUUUACAUCUCCACAUGCAAACCUCAACCAAAACGCCACUCUAUAGCCACAAAUAAUGCUCAGAACAGCACCUAACUUCAUCAACAGGACAUAGAGGGUCACAGACAUAGUACUAGACACCAAACAUCUUUUUAACUUUGACUCAUUUCUUUGGCAAAGAGACUAAACACAACUCACCCACUCUCUUCCUGCAGCCGCUUGUUUGUAGGGAGACCUGACGAGUCGAUCACAGAGUGCAGCAGAUCAUUUCCAUAAAGUAAUUAUCAUCAUGUUAAUCAUUUUGCAGACGUGGUAGUUCUUCUGCCUUGGCGUCUCGGUCUGAUUGUAUUUUCAUGAAGUAAUGAUUGACUCAUCAGGGCUCCCCAGUCGUAACUAAAGUUGGUAUAACUAGAGAAACACGCAGUCUGCAACAUUCAUCUCUGGAGGGGGGGUCUAACUCGGUGUUACGGUGUGUUUGACCUUAAAUGAAUUUUACGUUACAUUUUAGACCUUUCAAUAUCAUAUGAGCCAACUCGCAGCCUCAGAUCCUCUGGCGAAGGCCUCCUGGUCGUUCCAAAUUUGAGGCUUAAAACUAAAGGUGAAAGAUCUUUCUCCAUCAGAGCUCCUCAACUUCGGAACGACCUGCCAGAGGAGAUAAGGUUUACAGUAGAGACGGUCGCUUCAUUUAAGUCAAAUUUAAAAACUCACUUUUACAGACUUGCUUUUAUUUGAUGCCUCUGUCUUUCUUCGGCUUUCCUGUCUUUUUAUCUUUUGUUACACUUAUAUACUUCAAUAUUUUAUGUUUUUAUUUUGACCCCCAUGGUCUCAUUUUUUGUUGCAGGGUUCUUGUUUGUCUGGGUUCCUUAUGUCAUAUGAAAUUGGCCUUUAAUUCUGAAGUUUUGUUUUAACUGAGCUUUUGUUUUUAUUUCCGUGUGCUGACCUUCUGUGCUUGUGGUAGAGCUGUCGUCCUACUACUGGAAGGUUGGCAGUUCAAUUCCCUCUAUCUGUAGUCUGUCUGUUGUGUCCUUGGGCAAGACACUUAACCCACCUUGCUCCCAGUGUGUGUCCUCCUCUGGGGUAUGAUUGUGAGUGUUAUGCGGUGGUGGUCGGAGAGGUCGUAGGCACAAACUGGCAGCCAUGUUUCCGUCAGUCUGUCCCAGAACCACCAAAGUGUGACUGUGUGAGUGAAUAAAUGAUGUAUCCGAUCUAAAGCACUUUGAGGGACUCUGAUAAAGCGCUAUAUGAAAUCUGAUGCAUUAUUAUUAUCAUUAUUAAAAAGCAGUUUGUGUGAAAGGAUGUUUUGACUGUAAGCAUACAGGUGCAGCUAAUCAGAGUCAUGUGAGCGAGCAGCAGCAGCAGCACAAAAGCUGUCAGAGCUCUAUUUUGGAGCGUGUGAAUCACCACAGACUUUAGAGCAUUACUUACUGCACCUGCUUGUGUGGGUGUCGAUGAUGUAGAAGAUUCAUGUCGAAGGAUCGUCCUCAGGUUGGCAUGUUGUGACCAGCCGUACGCCCAACCGUCGUGGGUAAUAACAGUUUCAGACAUCUAUAGGACCUGUUAGAAGAGAGAGAGAGAGAGAGAGAGAGAGAGAGCAACCAAACUGGAACUCCUGUAAACACCAGUUACUCAUGAUACCUCUCUGAUAGUUCUGUAACGUUAUGAAGCUACCAUCUUUGUUGUAAAUCCAAAAUAUGAAUCAUCCAGGUGUGAAUAAUGUGUGAGGUAUGAAAAUCAUUAUGAUAGACGUGAUGGGAGUGCUUUGUGAAGUGAAGUGUGAGAAAAACAGUCACUCCAAACUAACGCGUCUCUGAGUUUAAGUGGGAAUGUUUGUGUGAUGGCGUGUACAUACCUGGGCUGUACUCACCUGUACCAUUAACCCC